rnacentral:rRNA from 1 species
GAUGAACGCUGGCGGCAUGCCUAAUACAUGCAAGUCGAACGAGAGGAAGGAAAGCUUGCUUUUCUGAAUCUAGUGGCGAACGGGUGAGUAACACGUAGGUAACCUGCCCAUGUGCCCGGGAUAACUUCUGGAAACGGAUGCUAAAGCCGGAUAGGUAGCAGACAAGCAUUUGACUGCUAUUAAAGUGGCUAAGGCCAUGAACAUGGAUGGACCUGCGGUGCAUUAGCUAGUUGGUGAGGUAACGGCCCACCAAGGCGACGAUGCAUAGCCGGCCUGAGAGGGCGGACGGCCACAUUGGGACUGAGACACGGCCCAAACUCCUACGGGAGGCAGCAGUAGGGAAUUUUCGUCAAUGGGGGGAACCCUGAACGAGCAAUGCCGCGUGAGUGAGGAAGGUCUUCGGAUCGUAAAGCUCUGUUGUAAGAGAAAAACGACAUUCAUAGGGAAUGAUGAGUGAGUGAUGGUAUCUUACCAGAAAGUCACGGCUAACUACGUGCCAGCAGCCGCCGUAACAC